GCGCCUGUAGCUCAGUUGGAUUAGAGUGCAUCGCUACGAACGAUGAGGUCGGAGGUUCGAAUCCUUCCAGGCGCGCAA
rnacentral:tRNA from 1 species